CAUAAUUUAAGAUAUAAUUAAAUUUUUUUAUCAAGAAUGUGUCCAAAGUACAUGAAUGCCUUACUAUAAUUUUUUAUGUUCAUUGGACCGUGAAAUUGGGGUCAAAACUCUAAUUUGACAUGUGACAAACGAGCAGACGAACGAACGGAUGGACGAACGAACGAACUGACAUACAUACCGGAAGUACAAAGAUAUCAAUUGCAUAUUAAUACUAUAUAUGAAGGAGAUAUGGUAAGAUUGCAAAUGAGACCACGAUCGACCAACGUUUAAAUGCAGUGGAUGUAAGCAAUUAUAGGCAACAGUACGGCUUUCAUAAAUGAGAAAAAUUCGUACCGUAUAGUCGGAUAUAUAAUAUAAAAAAGAAGAUGUGGUAUGAUUGCCAAUGAGACAACUGUUCAUAAGAGACCAAAAUGACACAGACAUUAACAACUAGGUCACCGUACGGCCUUCAACAAUGAGCAAAUAUAAAAAAAUAAGAUGUGGUAUGAUUGCCAUGAGACAACUAUCCACAAGAGACCAAAAUGACACAGACAUUAACAACUAGGUCACCGUACGGCCUUCAACAAUGAGCAAAACCCAUACCGCAUAGUCGGCUAUAAAAGGCCCCGAUAAGACAAUGUAAAACAAUUCAAACGAGAAAACUAACGGCCUUAUUAAUAUAAAAAAAUGAACGAAAAACAAAUAUGUAACACAUAAACAAACGACAACCACGGAAUUACAGGCUCCUGAUUUGGGACAGGCACAUAAAUAAAUAGUUUGGCGGGGUUAAACAUGUAAGGGGGAUCCGCAACCCCCCUAACCUGGACAGUGGUAUAACAGUACAAAAUAAUAACGAAUUAUGAAAAUCAGUUGAAAAAGGCUUAACUCAUCAGAUGGACAAAAAUACAAGUGGACGUGGCCGGGUACUUAUACAUCCCGACACAAAAAGAAACAAUGGACAGAUCUGAGAGUACUCGCAGUUAUCUGACAGCUAGUUGAAAGCCACUAACAACUAAUAAAAAAAUCAUGCAUCUAAGACUAAACUAUCAAUCCGUACACAUCCAACAUCCAAUGGAUUUAGUGAUAAGACUACAUGUAUUUGUAAAGCCAUUUUCUAUUCGAAAUUCACAAUAAAAAGUCGAAAGAUAACAAGCGUGUAUUUCAAUGUUUGAAAAAAAAACUUUGUUUGAACUAAAACUCAUCAGUCGAAGAAAACUGACAACGCCUUGACAGUAAACGAAAUAUGACGAAAAGACCAUCAUGAAAAUUCUACAUAGAAAACUAAAAAUACUGAGCAACACAAACCCCAC
rnacentral:lncRNA from 1 species